rnacentral:rRNA from 1 species
CCUUGACAUACUAAGAACUUUCCAGAGAUGGAUUGGUGCCUUCGGGAACUUAGAUACAGGUGCUGCAUGGCUGUCGUCAGCUCGUGUCGUGAGAUGUUGGGUUAAGUCCCGCAACGAGCGCAACCCUUUUCCUUAUUUGCCAGCGGGUCAUGCCGGGAACUUUAAGGAUACUGCCAGUGACAAACUGGAGGAAGGCGAGGACGACGUCAAGUCAUCAUGGCCCUUACGGCCAGGGCUACACACGUGCUACAAUGGUCGGUACAAAGGGUUGCUACCUCGCGAGAGGAUGCUAAUCUCAAAAAGCCGAUCGUAGUCCGGAUCGCAGUCUGCAACUCGACUGCGUGAAGUCGGAAUCGCUAGUAAUCGCGGAUCAGAAUGCCGCGGUGAAUACGUUCCCGGGCCUUGUACACACCGCCCGUCACACCAUGGGAGUUUGUUGCACCAGAAGUAGGUAGUCUAACCGCAAGGAGGACGCUUACCACGGUGUGGCCGAUGACUGGGGUGAAGUCGUAACAAGGUAAGCGUAGAUGA